GGCAAAAGUAGGAUUGACAGCAUC
rnacentral:siRNA from 1 species